GAUGAAGAACGCAGUGAACUGCGAUAAGUAAUGUGAAUUGCAGAAUUCAGUGAAUCAUCGAGUCUUUGAACGCACAUUGCGCCCCCUGGCAUUCCGGGGGGCAUGCCUGUCCGAGCGUCAUUGCUGCCCUUCAAGCCCGGCUUGUGUGUUGGGUCGUCGUCCCCCCCGGGGGACGGGCCCGAAAGGCAGCGGCGGCACCGCGUCCGGUCCUCGAGCGUAUGGGGCUUUGUCACCCGCUCGAUUAGGGCCGNCNGGGCGCCAGCCGGCGUCUCCAACCUUUUAUUUUACCAGGUUGACCUCGGAUCAGGUAGGGAUACCCGCUGAACUUAAGCAUAUCAAUAAGCGGAGGA
rnacentral:misc_RNA from 1 species